GCCGGAGGCGCUGAGUCAGGGGUUAGCAUCUAAAGGCCACACAAGCAUAGUAAGGAGGAAAGGGCAGUGCCUAGAGAUGAGAGAAAGAUGCCCCAGAAGACCAAGGCCAACUGCCCAGACAGCACUGCCUUCCCACCUUAACCGAGCUGGCCCUGGAAUGAGGGAGCAUUUUUUUUUCCUUUAUGUGAGGAGGUGCCAUUUGAGUCUGUCUCUAUUGGUAGCUAUAUGAUGGCAGACAACUGGGUGAAAAGUGGAAACGCAGAGUAAUCAAAUGUCUUCUCUGUAACCUAGAUGUCAGCUAGGGUCACGUGGUCUCUUAGGGUUGAGAGAAGAUGAGCUUGGGCCUUCAUUCCUCCUUGUGGGAAAUCCAAUAUCCUCCCCCCUCACCUCGGGAAUGAAGAUUCUUAUGUUUUCAUGUUCAUAUUUUUCUCUGUGCUAGUCAACUACCAGAUUAGUUUGAUUUAUGGGUCAAUUAAAAAUGUAUCCAACAAAACUCUGUUGUAUUGGAAUAGAGUCAGAGAUCUCAGUAUGAACUCAUGUUUAACCCAAUAUAUAUGCUGAUGUAUAGAUACAGAAACAGUUAUAGAUAUGUAUAUACACCAGUUAAUAUACACACGAUUAUUUCCUAGCUCUGCUGCAAGGAGCCGAGAAGCAACAACACCCCGGUAGCAAAGAGCACACCCAGUGUCUAGAUCUUGGUUUCUAAAUAUCAUUCUCUGAUAAAAGGGACCAGGGCUCCUUGGAGAAAUGGUUGACUCUAGAGCAGGGAAAAUACAACACCAGCCUGGAGCAUACACACAACAAAGAAGGAAGUGCUUGAUAAACGAAAGUAUUAGGGCAUGUCAAAGGAACACAGGAACCAACCUGCUCAGGAAAAACUCAGUUCUGCCUACCUCCUGUGUUGGGAAAAACCCAAUUCUUCCCUACCAUGUUUCUCUCCUGUACUAUUCACACAGAACACUUCUCUUCUGACAUUUCUGGUCACCAAAGGUGUGGAGGUGUUUCCCCACAACAAGCAAUUCUCUGUGACACCAGCAGGGUGUCCUACAUUUAACUCAAUUUGAACACUAUCUACCUGGAGAUAGCAUCAGGUUCCACAGAUUCAGGACUCAGUCCCACAAGACUGCUCCCCGGGGGCCAGCCAUACGGCUGAGUGGUUAAGUUCACGCGCUCUGCUGCGGCGGCCCAGGGUUUCGCCGAUUCAGAUCCUAGGCGCGGAUAUGGCAUCACUCAUCAGGACAUGGUGAGGCGGUGUCCCACAUGCCACAACUAGAAGGACCCACAACUAAAAUAUACAACUAUAUACUGGGGGGAUUUGGGGAGAAAAAAAAAGACUGCUCCCCACACGAUCCCCCCAACUUCAGAUGCCAAUCACAAGCCCAGGGUAUCACCUGCGCUUCUGACCGACCAGCUAUAGAUGGAAGGAUCCAAAUACCCUCUCCUCGGGUUCAAGUAAUUUGCUAGAGCAGCUCACAGAACUCAGAGUAACACUUAUAUUUACCGGUUUAUUAAAGGAUAUGAUAAAGGCUACAGAUGAACAGCCAGAUAAAGAGAUAUACAGGGGGAGGUCUGGGAGGGUACUGAGCACAGGAGCUUCUGUCCCCACGGAGUUGGGGGUGUGUCAUCCUCUCAGUAUAUGAAUGUAUUCGCCAAUCUGGAAGCUCUCUGAACUCCAUACUUUUGGGAUUUUUAUGGAGGUUUCAUCAUAUAGACAUGACUGAUCAUUAACUCCAUUUUCAGCCUUUCUCCCUUCUCAGGAGAAUAGGGUGCGGGGCAGAAAAUUCUAAGCCUGGUCUUUCCGGUGACCAGCUGUCAUCCAGGAGCGCCCCCCAGAGCCACCUCAUUAGAACAAAAGAGGUCUUCUCCUGUCGCCCAGGAAAUUAGAAGGGUUUCAGGAGCUCUGCAUCAAGAACAGAGGUCAAAGAACAGUAUUAGAACAAGAGAUGCUCCUAGUGCACUUAUCAGACAGCAAAUGACCAGGGUUUUAGGAGCCUUGUGCCAGGAACUGGAGGCAGACACCAAUAUAUAUAUUUUCUAUUAUCUCACACAACCCAAAAGAGCUUCUAAUGGCUAAAGCCAGAACGAUUCAAGCAACAAAAUAAAAAACAUAGCAUUGGGGCAGGCCCGGUGGUGCAGCGGUUAAGUGUGCACAUUCCGCUUCUCGGUGGCCCGGGGUUCACCGGUUCGGAUCCUGGGUGCGGACAUGGCACUGCUUGGCAAGCCAUGCUGUGGUAGGCAUCCCACGUAUAAAGUAGAGGAAGAUGGGCACGAUGUUAGCUCAGGGCCAGUCUUCCUCAGCAAAAAGAGGAGGACUGGCAGUAGUUAGCUCAGGGCUAAUCUUCCUCAAAAAACAAUAAUAAAUAAAUAAAUAAAUGCAGCAUUGGAUUAUAACCCAAAGUAUAAAAUACAUGUCUAUAAAUCCACACUGAAGCGAAUUACGAUUGAAUAAGUAAAUAAAUGAGUGAGAAGGGGCAGUUCAUCCUUGCAAGAGAUUCCAAGCGGCACAUGGAGACACGCCCCGCGCCAGGGCCUGGAGCCCAAUCCCCGCUCCUCCAAGCUCCAAACCUGGGCUCCAAAGAACAUUGUAGGCAGAGCGGAAAAUAGUGACUUAGAGUGGAGAAAUCUGGCAGACAUCCCCUUAGCCACAUGAUGACGGUUAAUGUCACCAGGAGUGUCAUGCAGAUCUCCUGUGUCCCCCCGUAUGAUGUGAUGGGAAGAGCUUCUUUAGUAUUCUUUCCAAAACCCAAUCACCCCAGUGUAAUCAGGAGAAAAACAUCAGAAAAAUCCCAAUUGAAGGAACUGCUACAAAAUACCUGACCAGUACUCCUCAAAACUGCGAAGGUUGUGAAAAACAACAAAAGACUGAGAAACUGUCACAGACCAGAGGAGACUAAGAAAACACGACAACUGAAAGCAGUGUGAUACCUGAGUGGAGCCAGGAACAGAAGGAGGGCAUUAGUGGGAAAAUGACUGAAACCCAAAUAGAGCCUGGGGCUUUGUUAAUAGUAAUGCACCAGGGCUGGUUCCUCAGCGUGACAACUGUACCAGGGUAGCGUCAGAUGUUAACAACAGGGGCUCUGGGGGUGGGGUACAGGUAAACUCUGUGUUCCCAUUGCAACUUUCCUAUAAAUCUAAAAUUUUUUCAAAAUAAUGCUUAUUUUUUAAAAAACUCUAAUUGAGUUUUUAAACAAUACACCCUAAUGCAUUCAACAAACACACACAUCACACUCACCCCACUCGGCACUAUUCCAAGCGAAGCGCAAAUACAAACUCCUCCUCCUGAUGUGAUCAUUAUUAUCACGUCUAAUCUGCGUGGCUGUCCGGCUCCAGCGCGCAUUCUCACCACUUUACAUCUCAGCUCGGCUUGCUGGCCCUGGCCUGCACCAUAUCAACCAAGGCUGGCCUCAGCCCUGCCUGGAUUCUCAGCAAAAAAACUCCCCAAAACAAAAGCAAACAAACCCAUUCACACAAGACGUUUUCUAAGCUGAGCAUCAGAGGUCUCAUCUUUUUUUUUUUUUUUUUUUUAAGGAAGAUUAGCCCAGAGCUAACUACUGCCAAUCCUCGUCUUUUUGCUGAGGAAGACUGGCCCUGAGCUAACAUCUGUGCCUGUCUUCCUCUACUUUAUAUGUGGGAUGCCUACCACAGCAUGGCUUGCCAAGCAGUGCCAGGUCCGCACCCAGGAUCCAAACCGGUGAACCCCAGCCCGCUGAGAAGCAGAACCUGCAAACUUAACCGCUGCACCACCGGGCCGGCCCCCAGAGGUCUCAUCUUUAAAAGCAGUGCCUGGGCCACUUCCACCAUGCAGAGCUUCUCCCUCUGCCCCCUCUCCUCCUCCCUCCUCCCCUCCCAGCCGGAUUCCUGGUACACAGACUGGCCUGAGACUGGAGUCCCUCAGCUGGACAGUACAGAGGAACGGCCCUGCAUGCGAGAAAGACCCUGAAUUAACUCGCUCUAGAGGCCGGGGCACUGCAAGGUGCAGAAGGUCUCAAGAGGGGAGCACCAGGUCACAGGAGGGACUCUCCCAGAGCAAGAUCAGCAGAUCCAGGAUGCCCCAGCCUGGAGGGGGCUGAAGGGGGCACCACUUGGGAGAAGACGUGGCUUCCCCUGCGGCCUCUCAGGCAUCGGCCUCCAGGUCAGCUCUUCAUAGUGUGUUCAGACUCAGUGAAGACGAUGCUGAUCAAUGCCAGGUCUUGAGAAUUUUGAUGAGGCUUCCAGGAAUAAGGGAAACUGAAUUGAGUCAACUUCUGAAGAAAGAUAAAACUUGAAGCUACUGGGAACAGCUAUUUUAUACCUUGACUGCUUUAUAAAAGUCUGUUUGGGCCGGCCUCGUGUCGCAAUGGUUACGUUCGCGCGUUCCGCUUUGGCGGCUCAGAAUUGGCUGGUUCAGAUCCCGGGUGUGGACAUGGCACCGCUCAUCAAGCCAUGCUGGGGCAGGCGUCCCACAUAUAAAGUAGAGGAAGGUGGGCACGAUGUUAGCUCAGGGCUAAUCUCCUCAGCGAAAACAGGAGGAUUGGCAGCAGAGGUUAGCUCAUGGCUGAUCUUCCUCAAAAAAGGAAUUCUGUUCACGGGUCUGGUAAAAUCUAGAUCUCUAAUAUUUUUAUGCCCAAGCCCCUUGGACACUGCAGCCCUUUUCAGUUUCUCCUUAGGCAAAAUUCAUUCUUGUCAGCUCAUUAAGCUGAAGAAGCCUGGGAAUAAAAUUUGAAACAAAGGUUAAUAAAGUUCUUUGCCAGUAAAAUGUAAUAAUAAUAAAAUAAUAAUAAUAAAAUCAAACCAGACCUGCUCACUAGGCCUGGCCUUGGCUCUGAGGCCCCAGAGGCAGAAGGCAGGCUUGCUGUCUCUGGCUGAACACAGCAAGUGAAGGGCCCACAUCCUCUUCUCCAAUUGCCUAAAGAUACCUGUCACUUCCCAUCACCUCUGUGGCAAAGCUGCACAGCCUCUCUCCUUCGCCAGUCUUUGUCAAAGAGCGUUGGGGCUGGGGCAGAAAGAGAAGGGGACGUGUACUCCCCUCCCCAGAGCUCAGUUGUACAGAGCCCUGCCCUGGGGGCCAGGCAGGGCUCUGUGCCCUGAAUGGGACCUCCACCCAUGCCUCCAGAGCAGUGUGGUCCCAACUUCCAAAAUUAACUCUCCUUGCAGAGUUGGGGCAUUAAUCACCCUAGUAAACAUACCCAUAUGUUACCACUGAGAGAAAGCAAUUAAGCCCCUCAGCCAUGAACUCGGUUAAUUUAUAGAACAUAAAUGAGCCACUGGGUCGGGGGAGAGGGGUGUAGGAAGGGGGAGCUGAGCAAGGCCGGCCCACUUGUGGGCUCAGGGGCAGUUGGGGGGACUGCAAGAAAAAGGCACUAAAAGUACCUGAGGUACCUUCUUCGUUUUGCCUGGAGCAGGCAGUGGUCUGCUCUCAGCCAGUCUGGAGGACCCCCAACAAAGUUCAGGCUCAGGGAUAAAUUCC
ensembl:lncRNA